AACCCUCGCUGUGUGUUACAAGUGUCACACGGAACUGCCGGUCAUAAACCGGAGGAAGGUGGGGAUGACGUCAAGUCAGCAUGGCCUUUAUAUCCUGGGCUACACACACGCUACAAUGGGAAGGGACAAUAGGGUUGCGAAGCCGCGAGGCGGAGCCAAUCCAGCAAACUUCCCUCAGUUCAGAUUGCAGGCUGCAACUCGCCUGCAUGAAGUUGGAGUUGCUAGUAAACGCAGGUCAGCCAUACUGCGUUGAAUACGUUCCCGGGGCUU
rnacentral:rRNA from 1 species